rnacentral:rRNA from 1 species
GAUGAACGCUGGCGGCGUGCCUAAUACAUGCAAGUCGAGCGAAUGGAUUAAGAGCUUGCUCUUAUGAAGUUAGCGGCGGACGGGUGAGUAACACGUGGGUAACCUGCCCAUAAGACUGGGAUAACUCCGGGAAACCGGGGCUAAUACCGGAUAACAUUUUGAACCGCAUGGUUCGAAAUUGAAAGGCGGCUUCGGCUGGCACUUAUGGAUGGACCCGGGUCGCAUUAGCUCGUUGGGGAGGUAACGGCUCACCAAGGCAACGAUGCGUAGCCGACCUGAGAGGGGGAUCGGCCACACUGGGACUGAGACACGGCCCAGACUCCUACGGGAGGCAGCAGUAGGGAAUCUUCCGCAAUGGACGAAAGUCUGACGGAGCAACGCCGCGUGAGUGAUGAAGGCUUUCGGGUCGUAAAACUCUGUUGUUAGGGAAGAACAAGUGCUAGUUGAAUAAGCUGGCACCUUGACGGUACCUAACCAGAAAGCCACGGCUAACUACGUGCCAGCCGCCGCGGUAA